rnacentral:rRNA from 1 species
CAAGUCGAACGCGAAAGUUCCCUUCGGGGGGCGAGUAGAGUGGCGUCCGGGUGAGUAACACGUAGGUAAUCUACCUUUGGGUGGGGAAUAACAAUCGGAAACGGUUGCUAAUACCGCAUAAUGCAGCGGCACCGCAUGGUGACAGUUGUUAAAGCGGGGGAUCGCAAGACCUCGCGCCUAGAGAGGAGCCUGUGGCGGAUUAGCUAGUUGGCAGGGUAACGGCCUACCAAGGCAACGAUCCGUAGCCGGCCUGAGAGGGCGGUCGGCCACACUGACACUGAAAUACGGGUCAGACUCCUACGGGAGGCAGCAGUCGGGAAUUUUGGGCAAUGGGCGCAAGCCUGACCCAGCAACGCCGCGUGAAGGAUGAAAUCCCUCGGGAUGUAAACUUCGCAAGAGUGGGAAGAAUAAGUAGGGGAUAAUACCCUCUAUGAUGACGGUACCAUUUGUAAGCUCCGGCUAACUCCGUGCCAGCAGCCGCGGUAAUACGGGGGGAGCAAGCGUUGUUCGGAUUUACUGGGCGUAAAGGGCGCGUAGGCGGCCAGUGCAAGUCAGUUGUGAAAUCUCCGAGCUUAACUCGGAAAGGUCAACUGAUACUGCUCGGCUAGAGUGCGGAAGGGGCAACUGGAAUUCUUGGUGUAGCGGUGAAAUGCGUAGAUAUCAAGAGGAACACCUGCGGCGAAGGCGGGUUGCUGGGCCGACACUGACGCUGAUGCGCGAAAGCUAGGGGAGCGAACGGGAUUAGAUACCCCGGUAGUCCUAGCCUUAAACGAUGAAUGCUUGGUGUCUGGGGUUAUAAA